CAAUUGGUUCUGUUUAGAACCACACACACAACAUACACUUAUAUAU
rfam:Felis catus isolate Cinnamon breed Abyssinian chromosome D4, whole genome shotgun sequence.